UACGUAGGUGGCGAGCGUUGUCCGGAUUUACUGGGCGUAAAGAGCGCGCAGGCGGCUGGUCAAGUCCGAUGUGAAAGCUCCCGGCUUAACUGGGAAAUUGCAUCGGAAACUGAUCGGCUGGAAGGUGGGAGAGGGUAGCGGAAUUCCCGGUGUAGUGGUGAAAUGCGUAGAUAUCGGGAGGAACACCAGUGGCGAAAGCGGCUACCUGGCCCAUUCUUGACGCUGAGGCGCGAAAGCUAGGGGAGCAAGCAGG
rnacentral:rRNA from 1 species